rnacentral:rRNA from 1 species
UACGGAGGGUGCAAGCGUUAUCCGGAUUCACUGGGUUUAAAGGGUGCGUAGGUGGAUCGGUAAGUCCAUGGUGAAAUCCCCGAGCUUAACUCGGGAACUGCCGUGGAUACUAUCGAUCUUGAAUACUGUGGAGGUAAGCGGAAUAUGUCAUGUAGCGGUGAAAUGCUUAGAUAUGACAUAGAACACCGAUAGCGAAGGCAGCUUGCUACACAGUUAUUGACACUGAGGCACGAAAGCGUGGGGAGCAAACAGG